rnacentral:sRNA from 1 species
AGCCCUGAGCACUUUGCUCUUGUUCCCCUGACUGAGAGCCAGGGCCCACCCCACAGUGGCAGUGGCAGCAGGACUAGUGGCUGCCGCCAAGCCGUGGUGGUCCAGGAGGACAGCCGCAAAGACAGACUCCCAUUGCCUUUGAGAGACACCAAGCUGCUCUCACCGCUCAGGGACACUCCUCCCCCACAAAGCUUGAUGGUGAAGAUCACCCUAGACCUGCUCUCUCGGAUACCCCAGCCUCCCGGGAAGGGGAGCCGCCAGAGGAAAGCAGAAGAUAAACAGCUGCCCGCAGGGAAGAAGCACAGCUCUGAGAAGAGGAGCUCAGACAGCUCAAGCAAGUUGGCCAAAAAGAGAAAGGGUGAAGCAGAAAGAGACUGUGAUAACAAGAAAAUCAGACUGGAGAAGGAAAUCAAAUCACAGUCGUCUUCUUCAUCCUCCCACAAAGAAUCUUCUAAAACAAAGUGAGUAUAGAGAUUAGCAACCACCUCAUGUACGGUGAUCAACACUUCUUGGGUCUUGACAUAGCAAAGAAAUUUUUCUUCUGCAGUAGAAUCAGUGGAUUAAUAAACUCAAGCUCAUUUGGACAAUGUAAUGA